rnacentral:lncRNA from 1 species
CCAGGAUUCAGUUGUUUUUAAAAAAUAUGUUUCUUAAAAUGAUUGUUCUAUUCUGUAACAUUUCUCAAGGCCCAGAAGUAAUGUUUGUCUCAUUUGGAAUUAUAUGUUUAAUUAAUAACAGCUUGAUUUUCCACACCAUUGACAUGAGGCAAUGUUAAGAGGCUACUAGAAACAGGCUUGGGAAUAGUUGAUGCCGGAUCUUGAGAGGAAACCUUUGAACACUCCACUUCUUACUUGUCAGCUUCAACCAGUCUCUCUAGAUAUUGAUGUAGUAAGGAGCAGCAGCUCACAGCUUCACUGGCAUUGAUGGGCGUGGUGGCUUCAUGUCCAGGCUGGAUUGCAAGGUGCUUCGUUCCAAGCCUCUAAACCCCAAACCUGGGCGGCACUGCUUCCUUCCUUGGAAAAGCAAUUACAUGGCAAGACAUUACGUUUCUUUCUAACCAGCUGACCAGAUUCAAGUUGGCCAAAAGAAGAGGUGAACUAUAGUCAUGGUUGUGAUCGUCUCGCUACUCACAACGGGGAAGCUGUCCACGUGGAUUGUAAACUCCGCGCUGCUGGGCCGUUUAUCUCUGCCACCACAACAGCCCGGGCCGCAAACAGGCGAGCCGUUCUCUGCCCGGCUCCUGGGCUCCCGCCGGGAGGGCACAAUUAAGACAGACCCUUGCCUUCUUGGCUGCCAAAGCAUUUCAGCUUCUGAAGAGCAUGGGAAGCAACGCCAUCAACCCCCCUGAGGAAAUAAAUAAAUAAAUUAAUUAAUUAAAUAAAUGCA